rnacentral:rRNA from 1 species
CCUACGGGUGGCAGCAGUGAGGAAUAUUGGUCAAUGGGAGAGAUCCUGAACCAGCCAAGCCGCGUGAGGGAAGACGGCCCUAUGGGUUGUAAACCUCUUUUGUCGGAGAACAAAACCCGGGACGUGUCCCGGACUGCGUGUAUCCGAAGAAAAAGCAUCGGCUAACUCCGUGCAGGCAGCCGCGGUAAUACGGAGGUUGCGAGCGUUAUCCGGAUUUAUUGGGGUUAAAGGGUGCGUAGGCGAUCCGUUAAGUCAGCGGUAAAAUUGCGGGGCUCAACCCCGUCGAGCUGUUGAAACUGGCAGACUGGAGUGGGGGAGAAGUACGCGGAAUGCGCGGGGUAGCGGUGAAAUGCGUAGAUAUCGCGCAGAACUCCGAUUGCGAAGGCAGCGUACCGGCGCCAGACUGACGCUGAGGCACGAAAGCGUGGGGAUCGAACAGGAUUAGAUACCCCAGUAGUC